GGGGCUGUCAUGGUUUCGACAGAGAUAUGUUUGGUAUAGACGGCAAUCGAGUGGCUACGUAAAAGCUCUUAAAAAUAAACGGAAAAAACUUAUUUGCUAACUUUGGUGGAAACCGCCAGGUUGCAUUCGCUGCUUAAUUAACCUAACUACUGGUUUGCAGCCGUCCUUCUGAUCUGCCGCUCUUAAGAUCAGACAGGGUGUCAUAAAUAAGGGAUAGUCCAUCUGAAAGUCUGAGUUCAGGUGGAUGAAAUUCAUCAGACACAUCAGUAGGAGUUUGUUCAUCAUUACCUGCUGAAUAAAAGGUAUGAACUAAAUUGUAGAUGUCUAUACGUGGGACUAUUUUUGGACAGGGGUUCGACUCCCCUCAGCUCCACCA
rnacentral:tmRNA from 1 species